ensembl:lncRNA LINC00511 long intergenic non-protein coding RNA 511
CGGGCUGGACGGUUGGGAAGGAAGGUCGUGGACAACAAAGUAAUGAACAAAAAUAUGUUUCACGCAUGAGAAGCUGUCCGAGAUGGCAGUGAGGGAGAGGUCAUGGCAAACGGUGUUUAUGGCAUGGAAAAGUGAAGAUUCAAAAAAAAACCCAAGGAGAGGCCAAGAUAGUGUGGAAAAUAUCCACCCCCUCCCAGAGACAGCUCAUUAGGAAGGUUUUGGAGGGAGACUCGCAGGAGGUCAGGGGCUGCUGUGUUAUCUUUGGAGGAAAGGCCAUCCCUUCUCUUCCCCUCCGCAGACGUAUCCAGUGAGACAACUCUCUCCCCAGCAAGCUUUUCUCAGGGAGCAGGCAGUUUCUUGAAAAAAUGAACCAGAUGAGGAUCCACCCACCUCCAGAAACAAAGACUGUGGCUGUCUCCAAGAAUGAAGCACCAGUCUCUUAGUUGGUAUCCCCAGGAGACCAAGUGAGUAGGUAUUACAAAUAUAAUCAGGGAAAAGAAGCUAUUUUAAAAAAUCGGUCAUUGGGCAGGAUGUUCCAAAGGGCAGAUGAAUGUAACUUCCAAGAUGAAGUAACCGGAUGUCUGUCAACUCAGAAAACAAGGUAAAUUGUAACCACUGAAAGUCCGCUGUUUCGAUUCUGGGCAAGAUGCUAUGGCAGAACAGGGACCAUGAUGAACUACUUAGAAAAAUACAUAAGGCCAUAAAUAAUGUGUGAUUAUUUGAUGAAUGCCUGUCUCUCCCACUGGGACCAUCAGCUUAGAAAAGAAAUGAUGUGGAUGUGCUCACCAAGUUAUUUGCAGAGCUUAGCAGAGUGGGAUAGAAGAGACCCAUGCAGGAGACCUCUCCAGGUACACAUAUUUCCUGCUACUGAAUGGCUUAGACUGGGAUUUGCAAGGAACUACGAAGUCCAAGACCUUUGCCUUUCUUUUAGAAGAAGGCACCAGCUGGUUCUCCAAUGUUGAAGGUCUUCUCCAGAGAUACCUUAAGGUGUGGGGAGAUUACAACUUGCUCAAGGUCUCAUAGCUAGAAGAUGUCAGAGUGAUAACUCAAACCAUGUCACAUGACUCUAAGCCCAAAGCAGCCUCUAGAAGGUUGUUUGAUCUUCUGAUGGAAGCACAAAUCACCAUUCCAACAUGAAAGAUGGAGAAACUUAAGUCUAGAGAGAUUUAAAGGACUUGUCAAAGGCAAUGAAACAAGUGAUGAGGAAACUGAGGCCCAGAGAGGAUAAAUGACUUGCUCAAGGUUAGCCAGUUGGUCAAUGGCAAAGAUUAAACCAGAACCCAGAUCUCCUCUCUCCAGCCAGAGUCUUCAAGCAAAGUCCCUAGGAGGAACUCUGAAAGCCACAUGUUGAGAUGGCCCCAUUACAGGAUGGAGAGCACCUGAACCCCCAAGUUAUGGACUAGAAGAAGACAGUUGCCCUGGAAAAUCAUCUGACCCACAUUGGACUUUAUGUGAGGGGGAAAUAAACCUUUAUUAUGUUAAGCUACACAAUAAUAAAUAACAACAAUAA